UGUCGGUCCCCCCGCAAUGUCAGGUUGUAAACCCCGUCAGGCCCGGAAGGGAGCAGCGGUAGCAACUGCGGCAUGUGCCGGGGUGCGGCUGGCAGGA
rnacentral:SRP_RNA from 1 species